AUGUCUGAAGCGCGGAGGCGGCCUCUUCCCCACCCCCCGCCGCAGCCUCCGUGGGCAUCUUUUCCCGCGAGGGGGGCACGCGAGCCCGUCCGAGAGCAGCCUGAGCCCGCGGGCGGGCGCGGCCGACGGCGCGCUCCCCAGGGAUGCAGGGUCUUUUCCUAUGUAUGUCGUCGUUUAGCUGCCGAGCCGUGUCCGACUCUUUGCGACCCCAUGGACUGUAGCCCACCCAGCUCCUCUGUCCACGGGAUUUCCCAGGCAAGGAUACUGGAGUGGGUUGCUGUUUCCUUCUCCAACUUUUUUCUUUCAUUUUGUCAGCACAGCUUUUAGACUUCCCGAGAAAGAGUGCAUGAGAGGUUAGUUUUUUGAGACAUCAUCUGAAAGUGUCUUUAAAUCUGUUUUCUUUAAGGAGUAAAAGUUUUGACUGGGUAUAGAAUUGCAGUUGGAAUGUAAUUUUUACUGAGAACUCUGAAUGAAUUGCUUUAUGCUUUUCUAGCUUCUUAUAGCAGAUAUAAUUUGUAUUCUCGGUUCCAAAAGUAUGGAAAAGUCAGAGGACAUAAUGCACUCUCAUGUAACCAUUACCCGUCUUCAGCAGUCGUCAGCUCAUGGCCACUUUUUAAAAAUUUAUAAUCCUGUCUGUCCCUCUUCCUUUUCAUUUCAUACAAGCAAACCCAGAUACAUAAUUUUACUUGCGAAUAUUUGUCUCUCUAAAAGAUAAGGGCUCGUUUGUGAACUAUAACCCUUGUAGUAAUAUCAUACCUUUAAAAGAUUAAAAAUAAUUCUUCAAAUAUCCAGUUUAAGUUCAAAUUACCUUGAUUGCCUCAUAAUUAUAUUUUAAAACAGUUUAUUCAAAUUAGAAUCUUAAGUAAGGUCCAUAAAUUGUCAUUGACUGACAAACCUCUGAAGUCUCUUUUAAUCUGUUGGUGUUAUUUUUUUCCCUUGAGUUUUAUUUGUUGAAGAAACUGUGUCCUCUGUCUUGAAGUUUUCUAUUGCCUGUGCAUUGCUGAGUAAAACCCUGUGGUGUCAUUGACGUGUCCCCGUCCCUUGCAGUAUAUUUCCUAUAUGUGGCAGUGAGAUCUAGAGACUUGAUAAGAUUCUGUGUGUGUGUGUGUUUUUUGAGAGGUGGAAAGUAGGGAGAAUACCACAUGGGUGGUAUGUUAUCUUUAGGAGGCAUAAAAUAUCUGACUCUGUGAUGCUAGUGACUAGUAAAUAUCAAUGUGGAUCCAUUGAUUUAUUUGAGAUUUUGGUUCUUUUUAUGUGAACCCUCCCACUCCCCAGGAGUUUUGAGGAUCUGAUCUUCAUCUGUACUGUUCGGAAGUUUUGUAGUGUUGCCUUGAAUAUUUUUUGUUUAUUUUUUACCCUUAUUGGGGGAUAUUUUUCAACUUUUCAUUUUCCAUCAGGAUUUAUUUUUUGUGUUCUCUGCUCCCUACCCCGCCCCCCCGCCCCCGCCCUUUCUUUCUUUUCGUUAGUAUUUUGUUUUUACUUCAUGGUUUCACAUAUUCUUUUACCUCUUCAGGCACAUUCAUAUUAUGAUUAAUUGCCUUUUUUUUCCCCUUUAUGGCAUUGUCUCCAUUUCCUGCGGAGUCUUGUUUUUCUGCUUGCUUUGAUUUCUGUCUUUGAGUUUUGGCAGCUUUCCUCAAAUAUCUGGCCAUCCCUGGGCUCGUGGCUUUCGUUUAGGAGUAAGUGGUGAUAAAGCUGAAAAGAAGCUAUUUUUGCGGGUGAAGCUUGCUCACUGAAGGCAUAUUAGUGUGGUGCUUGAGGGACCUGUAAGCGUGAGUGCCCUCGUUUUACUCCAGGGCUCUUGUUGAUGAGUCGCUAAGUUGUGUCCGACUUGUUGNNNNNNNNNNNNNNNNNNCCGACCAGGCUCCUCUGUCCAUGGGGUUUCCCAGGCGAGAGUACUGGAGUUGGGUGCCGGUUCCUUCUUCAAGGGAUCUUCCUGAUCCAGGGAUCAAAUCUGCAUCCCCUGUGUUGGCAGGUGGAUUGUUUACCUGCUGCUGAGCCACCGAGGAAGCUCCUUGCAGUCUUCCGCCUCACCUGUUCUCUUGUGCUUGGUCUCUCCACGGGUAGAGUCUCUGUGUGUUUUCCCCAGAGAGCGUGCAUGCCUCUGGUCUGUUUGGGGACAUGAUAGUUGCCAGCCCGGAUAGGAUUUGGGUUGCAAUAUGGGGUUUUACUGCAUUUAAUUUGCUUAUUUGUUGAAAUGAACUCAGAUAAGUUGCAGGUAGAAUAUAAAUAACUUUUAUUUCUUGAAUCUUUUGAGAUAAAGUUGUUGACAUGAAGUCUCUUCUUUGUUGAAUCUUGUAGUGCAUUUUUCCUAUAAACAGAGACGUUCUCUUGCCUGACGACAGUACAGCCAUCAGAGGCAGAAAUUUAACAUUGAUAUAUUACAGCUGUCUGAUCCUUAGGCCUCCAUUCAGCUUUCAGUCGUUGCCCCAGUGGUAUUCCUUUAUAGAAGGAUACAGUCAAUCUAGGAUCACCUAACACCUUUUGUUGUCAUGUCUCUCCAAUUCUUGAUCUACAGUAGUCCUUCAGCUGCUCUUUCUUUUAUGGUAUUGAUAUUUUUGAAGACUACAGGCCAGUUAUUUUAGAGAGUCCCUCUCAAUGUGAGUUUGUCUGAUGUUUCUUUACUAGAUGUAAGCUGAACAUCUUGGCCAGGAGUGUCAUGGAAGGGAUGCUGUGUUAAUUUCAGUGCGUUUUGUUAGAUGGUGUAUUACUGAUUUUCAGUUUGUGCUGUAAAAAAUAUUACCACAAGUUCAGUGGCUUAAAAAAACACACAUUAUGUCACAGU
rnacentral:lncRNA from 1 species